rnacentral:lncRNA from 1 species
UAAUAGAACCACCCUUUUCAAAUGACCUAACAAUACAGAACCAUGGUAACCAUGCAACUCACUGUUUACAGCAAGGUCUGCAGGCUCACUUGUUAGAGACAGUAGAGAGGGCAGGAUGUUGUCUUGCUGUCCUCAAGAAGGACAACAGGGAAGGCCACAAUGCUGUCUGGAGGCACAGGCUUCACUCUUGCCUUCAACACCUUUGGCCAUUUUCCCAAUACAGUGGUUACCACAUAGACCAGGAUGAGAAUGCUUCUCUCAAUAGAGCCUGAUGGAGUCCAGGAGGGAGUCAUACAUCAGGGCCCAGACUGUGGUUGAGCAGAUGAGCACGCUGGUGCCUCCUCUGCAUGAAGGGGACCCCUUGGUUGUCCUAACUUUUCUGUCUACAUAUAGAAGCUUUGUGACACCCCUUCAGGUAUUGGACCUGCUGUUUGGGAGGUACGCAUACUUCAGCCUUUAUUCUAAAGAGGAUGAACAAGUGAAGAACACCCUCUGUAGCUUCUUGGAAACAUGGAUGGACAAGAAACCUGAGGACUUUUGUGACCCAUCAGACCUGUUCACUUUGAAACUCCUGAGUCCUACUUGAGUAUGCAUACUUCAGUCCUAUUCAAAGAGGAUGAACAAGUAAAGAAUGCUCUCUGUAGAUUCUUGGAAACAUGGAUGGACAAGAACCCUAAAGACUUUUGUGACCGAUCAGAACUGUUGCCUCUGAAAUACCUGAAGGGCUACUUGAGUGUGUACAUGCCCCACUGUGAUCGUAGUGUCCAUGACAAGAGGCUGAUGACACAGUUGGAGGAAGAACAUGCCAAGGAUUCCCAAGCCAAAGAUGAGGUGGACCCAGAUCUGGGGGGAGACACAUCCUCAGAACCACAGAUUGAAUGGGUUUAAACCAACAGGGAAAAGAGACAUUCUGGAGCCUGAACCAACUUGUGCACCAGAGCUGGAGGGCAGAAAACCCUCUACAAAUUUCUGUGACACAUGAGGCUUUGCAGCUGGAUAUGUCAGCAGCAGCCCACACAGGACACAUGAUAGCAUCUGUGGAACCUGUGUCUCAGUAUGUCUGUAGAUACAAUGUAUCUUUCAGCCAUCUCCUGCUUGUUACAGUGGGCCUACCUAUUUAGAGAAUGGCCCUGUCACCUGUGAACCUAUAUUGAACUCUGUCCUACAGCUGAGCUACUGCUCCUACCCCUAAUGAUAUGCUGCUGAUUUCAAUACAGCAGCAGUUCCAAGCCCAGCCUUCCCCUCCCAUGUAAAAUAGCUUUCUUACCCUUCUCAUAUUUCAGUGCUGUGUUUAAGUAUUGGUUUUAAUAAAUUGUUAGUAUUUGGUUUACAUUUUCUAAAAUGCUAUUGAAUAAUGAGAGAAAAUAUCUGCCAAUUAUGAAUACUCUAUUUGAUAUGUUAUUUUAAGUUCAUUCAAAGUUGUUCAAAGAACAAAA